GUGAAUAGAAGUGUGAUUAGUGAUGCGAACGUGUCAAGGAGAGCUCAAGCAUAGGAGGAUAACGGGUCAAGAUAAGGCAAGGUUAUGAAUGUCGGACUUUCGAAGUGUUGAUAUAAUAAUGAAACGGUUGAAUGUUGAAAGGAUAAUCGGAUUGAAGUAACUUAUGCGGUUAGAAUAUGCUAUGGACGUUUUAGUUUAUACAACAUUUUAUGUUUGGUCGUCAUCAUCUACCAACGGGUAAAUCCUCAAUUCAGGCGACUUGGAGAAUCGGAGCGAGCGCGUGUUCAUGUUAUGUCAUACCAAACGCUUCCGCUAGCCUGUUCAAAUGUUUUUAGUCCAAAAUUUGUUGUUUUGGUUCUUAGUAGUAUUUUGUCGAAUGAAUCGUAGAAUUGUAUCUAGUUUGUUUAUGUUUAAAACAGGGGUAUGCUCGUUUUAUGGACGGGUCAUGCCCGAUUUUUGUUAAAUUAUAGUAUGAUAAUAUCACAUUUAGGAAGAUGA
rnacentral:lncRNA from 1 species